rnacentral:rRNA from 1 species
AUUAGGCUUUUUAUAGAAGUCCAGCAUGAACGGGCUGACGAUUCUUGAGCUUUUUUAGGGUAGAAAGAGAAUUUUAUCUCUAGGUCAAAAAGCCUAGAUUUCUGGAAAGACGAUAAGACCCCGUAAAACUUUACUUAAUUUAGUUUUAAAAAUAAGUAGAUAGACAUGAAAAUUUAAGUUUAGCUGGGGCGGCAAUUAAAGAACCUUGAUAAAGUUAACAUUAUCUGUGAAUUUAAAGAUCCUCAAGGGAUUUAGAAUAAGUUACUUUGGGGAUAACAGCGCAAUUCUUUUGUAGAGAUCUUAUCGAUAAAAGAGACUUGCGACCUCGAUGUUGAAUUGAGGGGCCUAGAUUAAGCAGAAAUAAUCUUAGGAAGUCUGUUCGACUUAUAAUACCUCA